GACGAACGCUGGCGGCGUGCUUAACACAUGCAAGUCGAACGGAAAGGCCCUGCUUUUGUGGGGUGCUCGAGUGGCGAACGGGUGAGUAACACGUGAGUAACCUGCCCUUGACUUUGGGAUAACUUCAGGAAACUGGGGCUAAUACCGGAUAGGAGCUCCUGCUGCAUGGUGGGGGUUGGAAAGUUUCGGCGGUUGGGGAUGGACUCGCGGCUUAUCAGCUUGUUGGUGGGGUAGUGGCUUACCAAGGCUUUGACGGGUAGUCGGCCUGAGAGGGUGACCGGCCACAUUGGGACUGAGAUGCGGCCCAGACUCCUACGGGAGGCAGCAGUGGGGAAUAUUGCACAAUGGGCGGAAGCCUGAUGCAGCAACGCCGCGUGCGGGAUGACGGCCUUCGGGUUGUAAACCGCUUUCGCCUGUGACGAAGCGUGAGUGACGGUAAUGGGUAAAGAAGCACCGGCUAACUACGUG
rnacentral:rRNA from 1 species